AUUGGGGGAUUGAUUCUACGACGCCAGAAAACUCCAUUGGCCAAAGAAUUGCGCAUUGAGCAUCAAUUUUUCUUUCUGCGUCCUCCCAAAAGGAACAAGGGUAGACGGUAGAAGAGGCACUUUCAUACAGUUGUUCCAUUUCACGAUUACACUCAUGCUGUUCUUCGUGCUCGGGAAAUUGUAGCAUUGUCUCACCACUGGAUAAAGAUACGUCGUUUACUGAAUUAGAAUUUAUAUCUUCAUCAGUACCAUCUUCACGUGCAGCGUUCUGAAGGUGAACGGUUGACUCGUUUUCCAACUUCACUGCACAAUUGCAUUUACAAGUCUGAGAAACACCUCUCGAUGAAAUCAGACGUUCGUGUAAAAUAAACGUGAGUCGUUUGAUGCUCCAGUCCCAUUCACUGCUGACAAUUAGCACCAGCUCUUGCGAACUUCGAAGUAAUACAUUUGAAGCUAAAUGAUAUAAUAGCUCGGUCUUUCCAGAACAAGAAUUUCCUUCAAUGACAAGUAAAGUACCAUUCACUGAUCCACUAUAAAGGACUUUUUCAAUAUGAUCAUCAUAGACGAGACCUUUCUGCUCUUUAAAACUUUCAAUCUGGCUUUUCCUCUUUAGUUCAGCAACCCAUUCAGCUGCGUUCAUUUAGACUGUAAAGAUGAUUAUUAUUAACGCUCUUGCAAAAAAUUUUAACAUUUACACUCUACUUUCCUUAGUGUAAAUGAAACAACCCCUAACAACGACAAUUCAUGCAGUCACGUCCAACAAUGAAUAUCAAAAUAGCUAUACCAUAAUAAGAACAGUGAGCACUCAAACCAAUAUUCAAUGGCUUCAGUGUUUUUCAAAUCCGAAGAAGCAAGUGAAAGAGGAUGUGCAGAGGUAAUACUUGAAGACUACACAUAAUGAGCCCUAUGAAUUAACCCACAUGUGAGUUCAACCUAAAGUUCAUCAGAUAUACAAUUACUGCUAACCGAAUGCUAAAAAGAAAAUAUCUUUAGGUCAAACAAUACCAACAACGUGCAAUUGUUCUUUAAACUUUCCAUUUACUGAAUAUACAGACUAUUUUUACACUCUAACAAUAACAGGAUUUCUAAAAAAACAUCUAAUUUUAUAUCAUCCACAUGCCUAGAACAAAAUUUUAUUCAAUAAUCAAGACAUGCAAGAUAUGAACAAGACCUUUUAGUUCUUUCUUCUGAAAGAGCAUCCCUCCAUAAGACGAGCCUUACCACCAGUAGGUUGGCAAAGGACAGAGGCACAAGAACCGCAAAUAACAACGGUUUGAGCAUGAGAGAAAACUGUGGUGAUGUUGAAGCAUCCAGGGCACU